rnacentral:tRNA from 1 species
GAUUCAGCGGCACGCGACGGCAGGGGCCAUCAUGACAGCCCGUUAGGAUGAUUGUCCGAUUUGCGGACUUUUAAUCCGUAGGUUCAGGGUUCGAGCCCCUGGCGGCCCACCA